rnacentral:rRNA from 1 species
GAGUUUGAUCGUGGCUCAGAUUGAACGCUGGCGGCAUGCCUUACACAUGCAAGUCGAACGGCAGCACGGGAGCUUGCUCCUGGUGGCGAGUGGCGAACGGGUGAGUAAUGCAUCGGAACGUAUCCUGGAGUGGGGGGAUAACGUAGCGAAAGUUACGCUAAUACCGCAUAUUCUGUGAGCAGGAAAGCGGGGGACCUUCGGGCCUCGCGCUCUUGGAGCGGCCGAUGUCGGAUUAGCUAGUUGGUGAGGUAAAGGCUCACCAAGGCGACGAUCCGUAGCAGGUCUGAGAGGAUGAUCUGCCACACUGGAACUGAGACACGGUCCAGACU